rnacentral:lncRNA from 1 species
GAGAGAGUUCCAGUGGGAUGCGUCUCUCCCUUCCCAGGGAGUAUGAUUGAACGGCAGCACAGUGCCAGGGAUUCUUGUUACAACUGGACCUCUACCUGGUCACUGUGCACCCAGCUCCCUCAGGAGGGGAGAGAGUGGCCGCUCUCGUCUCCUGACUCACAGGAAGAGCGCUGGAGUGGGCAAACGCCAUGUGGAGAGAAGGAGACACGGCACCAGACCACUUCUGGAGGAGGAGCCAUCACGUGCGCCAUCUGUAGCCGUAGAAGACACACUGCCGGUCGGUGCCGUGUCGGUCCCCCUGGGAGUCGAGGUAGCAGGCAGGGCACUCUGGCGUCACCCCAGACCAGGUUCCCAGAAUAAGAAGGCAGACGCACUGUCCCGGCUGUAUGACACAGAGGAGCGGCCCAUGAAUCAGACUCCCAUACUCCCGGCCGCCUGCCUGGUAGCGCCGGCCAUGUGGGAUCUGGAUGCGGACAUUGAGCAGGCGUUGAGUACAAAGCCCGCUCCCCUCCAGUGUCCCAUUGGGCGUGUGUACGUUCCGUCUGCUGUCCGUGACCAGUUGAUCUCUUGGGCCCACACGUCUCCCUCCUCUGGUCAUCCGGGGAUCGGUCGGACGGUGCACUGUCUGACUGGGAAGUACUGGUGGCCCACUUUGGCUAAGGAUGUGAGGGUUUAUGUGUCCUCCUGCUCGGUGUGUGCCCAGUGUAAGGCUCCGAGACACCUGCCCAGAGGGAAAUACCAUGAUCCUGGUCGUUGUGGAUCGUUUUUCUAAGUCCUGUCGUCUCCUCCCUCUGCCUGCCUGGUCUCCCUACGGCCCUACAGACUGCGGAGGCCCUGUUUACACACGUCUUCCAGCACUACGGGGUGCCUGAGGAUAUAGUGUCGGAUCGGGGUCCCUAGUUCACGUCGAGAGUUUGGAAGGCGUUCAUGGAACGUCUGGGGGUCUCGAUUAGCCUUACCUCAGGUUUUCACCCUGAGAGUAACGGGCAGGUAGAGAGAGUCAACCAGGAUGUGGGCAGGUUUCUGCGGUCCUAUUGCCAGGACCAGCCGGGGGAGUGGGCAGUGUUUGUGCCCUGGGCCGAGAUGGCACAGAACUCUCUUCGCCACUCCUCCACUAACCUCUCCCCCUUCCAGUGCGUAUUGGGGUACCAGCCGGUUCUGGCACCAUGGCAUCAGGGUCAGACCGAGACUCUUGCGGUGGAGGACUGGUUUAGGCGCGCGGAGGAGACAUGGGAGGCCACCCGGUCAGCAAAGUGUACUGUGUUUGUACAGUACAACAUUUAUGCUGUGGGUACAGGUAUUUGGGAUUCUUUAAUGUUUUUUCAAAUUUCAUAACCUUUAUUUAACUAGGUAAGUCAGUUAAGAACAAAUUCUAAUUUACAAUGACGGCCUACACCGGCCAAACCCAGACAAUUGGCUGGGCCAAUUGUGCGCCACCCUAUGGGACUCGCAGUCACAGCCGAGAUACAGUCUGGAUUUGAACCAGGAUGUCUGUAGUGUCGUCUCUAGCGCUGAUACGCAGUGACUUAGACCACUACGCUACUCGGGAGCCCACAUAAAGUAACUCUACAUAAACCUAUAUGUCAUCGAUGCUAUGGAUUUGGGUUAUGCUCCUGUAUGUAUUGGUUUCUGUGUUCCUGGCGUGCAGCGUUUAUAGAUCUUGGCUGUCUGUCUGGGGGACUGUGGGCCCUCCGUCCAGCCUUGUAUGUGAUCACUCCCAUGGAGACUGUAGGAACUUCAUCACAAUGACAGACUCUACUCUCCAGCAAAACAUCUCCCAAAUGUGUUGCAGUGUUUUUAGAGCUUAGAUUGGUUAUUUGUGUAAUAAUUCUGUCAUUUCUAGCACAGGAAAUUGUUUGCUUUAUUUUCUACAUAGUUAUAAGUAGAAAAUACAUAGUUUGUUGUGACCUUUUACUUUUAAAUUAGUCUAAUUUCUGUGAAAUAUGUGCCCUCCAAAUGUUUGCUCUAAUUGUCACGACUUCCAUCGGGCGGUGCUCGGCGGUCGUCGUCGCCGGCCUACUAGCUGCCACCGAUCCAUUUUUCCUUUUCGUCUGUCUGUUUUGUCACACCUGUGUUUAAUUUAGUUGAUUUCGG